rnacentral:lncRNA from 1 species
GUCUCCCCCGUCCGCUGCCCGGUCUCCUGUGGCCGCCCCUGCCUUCUGCCCGGUCCCUGUCCUGUGCGUCGGGCCCUUCCCAAGGUGCAGAGGGCGCCACUGCAGACCCGAGGUCGCGGCCACCGGCUCCUGGGCCAGGCCCUUUUUCUCUCCUCGAGCCGUCGGGGGAGGGUCUCCAGGGUGCUUGUUUGGGGAAAGCGGAAACAGACUGUCUGGGCCGCUGUUAAAAUGUCAGCAGCCAAGGAAGAAGCAGCGACCUGGCGUCUGCUCGGGCCAGGGUUGAUAGAGAGGAGUGGAGUGAUAUCGGACACCCAGCUUCAGCAAGCUCUCUCCAAGGUUUAUUUAUACUCGGGAAGUGCAAGACAUGGCGACUAGAAAGAGAUGUCAAGAGAACCCGGAAUCCAGUAGGCUACAAUUUGGCAAAUCUUAGCUUAAAACUUCCUAAAUGUUGACCACAGUGGAUGCAAAUGGCUCUGUGCAUCGUCUGUUCAAUAUGGUCAGGUGACCACCCAGGUUCACGUGGUUUGUCACCAGGGUGAUACGAGCCACACGGAGUGCCCUCCUCAGAGGCCAUGUCUCAGAGACGUUUAUUUUGAGUGGUUUUCCAGCGAGUGAUGCAAGAUUUAUGAUCCAUUUUAACAGCCUGCUUUUUAUGCAUUUGCUCAACUUUUUAGAUUUUAGGUUUAGUUUUAGGUUUUCUGUUAAACUUGCUCAAAUAGGAGUGGUGGUCAAAUACUGGACCUCAUUAGUAUGGUAGCCUGCCCACCUUGGCAGGCUCCACUGGAGUGCUUUGGGGCCUGCCUGGAUUCCAGUCCUGGCUCUACCAGUUUUGUGUCCUCGCUGUUACUGGGAGGGAGUAUUGAGGAAAUGCAUGCGAGGUGUUUCCAUGAUUCCUGGCACGGAGCAAGUGCUCAGUAAUUGUCAGCUGUGAGUAUUAGUAGUAGCUAAUACACUGCUACUAUUCUUGGCUAACAAGCCAGCUCAAAGCUUUGAUGGUUUUCCAUUACCUGAUGAUGGUGAUGAUGGUUUCCACUUACUGAACACUCACACGCUGGGCUAGGCACUUAACCCAAAUCCAAGGUCAGCAUUAUUGUUUGGGGGUUGGGGAGACACCUCCUGCUCUGACUUGUGUGUUUGGGUUCCCGUAUUUUCACCAGAGGGUGUUAGUCCUGCCCCAGUUCAGCUGGUCCUCAAAGUGUAUAUAGCUCUUUAACCAUCAGCAAGUGUCUAUCAGAACAUAAUCUUGAUUUCAGCUGCUACUAAAUAU